rnacentral:rRNA from 1 species
AUCAACAAGUGCCCACACAGAUUGUCUGAUAAAUUGUUAAAGAGCAAAAAAGAACGACGCACUGCCAAAUUUAACUACUUCACAACAGCGCAUCGUUGUGUGGUGCGGAUUAUAGAGAAAUCCUAAACCAACGCAAGUACUUUUUAUAAUUUUUACAGAAAAAAACAUUAAUUGCUCAAAAUAAGAACUAAGGUCUAUAUUUCCUCUACCACUCCUUUAUGGCUAAAUCCAGCUUCGAUGCUCAACUCGAAUAUGUGUAUGCUCUCUUCCUUCCUGAUGUUCAUAGUCAUAUUUAAAACCACGCAAUUUAACCUGAAUAUUAUUUUCUUGAGCAAAUACAUUGGUAAAGUCCUCUAGUAAUUCCAAUACAUCACUUGCAAUAUAUAAAGCCCGCUUGGCAUUAAUUGUAACUUUUGAAUUAGGUUGAAUAUUUUUUAAAGUUUUCUUAAUCGCUGCCUUAUUCAAAAAAGAGACUUUUCCACCUAGCUCAAGUAUAAUCUUAUCCGCAUCAGCUAAUUCUUCACGGCUCAAGUAAUAAGCUCUUUUCAUAUUUCCAUACAGAAUGAAUAGAAUACUAAUCACUAAGCCAAUCCCUACCCCUUUCAGCAAAUCAAGGAAAACAACAGAAACCAUUGUUGCAACGAAAGGAAUAAAUUGAUAACUCCCCUUACACCAAAAAGGUUUAUAAUGCUUUGGAUGUGUCAAUUUAUAUCCAAUCAAUAUUAAUACUGCCGCUAACGUUGCAAGGGGAAUCUGGUUGAGCACACUUGGAAUAGUUAAUACACACAUAAGCAACAAAACACCAUGAAAUACCGCAGAUGUUUUAUGAGUCGCUCCUGCAUUUGCAUUAGCAGAAGAACGCACAAUGACCGAUGUCAUAGGUAAACCUCCUAUCGAAGAGGUUAAUAUAUUAGCAAAACCUUGUACUCGUAACUCAUGAUUAUUAUCCGUAAUUCGACGGCGAACAUCU